UUAUUAGUUUCUACUAGAGAUAUUUGUGUG
rnacentral:piRNA from 1 species